UACAGAGGUCUCAAGCGUUGUUCGGAUUUAUUGGGCGUAAAGCGCACGUAGGCGGCUUUGUAAGUUAGAGGUGAAAGCCCAGAGCUCAACUCUGGAACUGCCUUUAAGACUGCAUCGCUUGAAUCAUGGAGAGGUCAGUGGAAUUCCGAGUGUAGAGGUGAAAUUCGUAGAUAUUCGGAAGAACACCAGUGGCGAAGGCGACUGACUGGACAUGUAUUGACGCUGAGGUGCGAAAGCGUGGGGAGCAAACAGG
rnacentral:rRNA from 1 species